rnacentral:rRNA from 1 species
AUUGAACGCUGGCGGCAGGCCUAACACAUGCCAGUCGAGCGGAUGAAGGGAGCUUGCUCCUGGAUUCAGCGGCGGACGGGUGAGUAAUGCCUAGGAAUCUGCCUGGUAGUGGGGGAUAACGUCCGGAAACGGGCGCUAAUAUCGCAUACGUCCUGAGGGAGAAAGUGGGGGAUCUUCGGACCUCACGCUAUCAGAUGAGCCUAGGUCGGAUUAGCUAGUUGGUGGGGUAAAGGCCUACCAAGGCGACGAUCCGUAACUGGUCUGAGAGGAUGAUCAGUCACACUGGAACUGAGACACGGUCCAGACUCCUACGGGAGGCAGCAGUGGGGAAUAUUGGACAAUGGGCGAAAGCCUGAUCCAGCCAUGCCGCGUGUGUGAAGAAGGUCUUCGGAUUGUAAAGCACUUUAAGUUGGGAGGAAGGGCAGUAAGUUAAUACCUUGCUGUUUUGACGUUACCAACAGAAUAAGCACCGGCUAACUUCGUG